UGUUGCCUUGCCCAUCCAGGGUUUAGGGUUCGAAUCCGGCCCCAGGCCUGUGUGGAGGAUGCAUGUUCUGCAGGUUUUUUUCAGACACUCUGUCUUCCUCAUGAAGUCCAAAGACACACAGUUAAGUGACUUAUUGGUCCCCAAACUGCCCAUGUGUGUGUGACCAAACGGCAAACUCCGACAACCUGUUCAUGGAGUACCACUGCCCUUUCCGACAUCAUUUUGUGUGUGAUAGAAACCACUUGAUUACUUUCCUUCCUUAGUAUAUUCUUAGAACGCAAUAAAAAUUCAAAGAUGACCCAAAUAAUUCAUGUUUACGUCUUUCUCUAGCUUUCCACAGUGACAUGCUGAAGCCAUGAGACACUGAGCCACUUCAGCCCUGAAGCUCCACGUUAGUUUCUGGUUCCCAACCAGAAGCCAAUCCAGAAGUCAGCACUUCUGGCAGCUUUAACCGUUUCCGUUCUGGGCCACGCACACAAGGGAGGAAUAGCCUUUUGGCCCUAUCAUCGAGCCUGUGGGAUUAUCAGCCCAGGAGUCCAGGGUCAUUCUCUCCACAUCCACUGUGCCCCCUACAUACUAACGACUGCUCUUCAAAGGAUGCAUCUGUGAAACUUCACAGAUUUACAGCUGACACCAUCCUGGUCGGCCUCAACUCCAACAAUGACGAGUCGGCCUCAACUCCAACAAUGACGAGUCGGCCUCAACUCCAACAAUGACGAGUCGGCCUCAACUCCAACAAUGACGAGUCGGCCUCAACUCCAACAAUGACGAGUCGGCCUUCAGGGAGGAAGGGAGCUAUCUUGUGUCCUGGUGCAGCCACCAUAGCCUGGAAUUUAACACUCUCAAAACUGAGGAAAUGUUUACAAACUUCCGAAAACAAUCCUUUUUUCAGUCACUCCCCUCCUGUAGCAGGCUCAAGGGGCUAAAACCAAAACUCAAGGCCACUCGCAUGGUUUCUAACCCCAAGCUGUAGCUAUUGUGUUCUAGUCAUCCUUCCCAGCUCCCAGAAUAACUCGAUGCUGAAAAGUCCCUGAUCUGCACGCUGCACUUUACCUGCCUUUUACUCGACGCUCAAAGCUGCCCCCACCGCACCCAGCCGCUCACCUUCUCCUUCACAGGACAAUCCUUCUUUGCACAUUUCUGAACCUCAUAACACAGAAAAAAAGGCAACUGUAUGGUGAAAUAAGUCAAAUAACCAUGUUUGUCAUCAGCACUGUCUCAAUCCCUGAUUUAUGCCCGUGUGCGACUCAGAUCUUAGCCUCAGUAGGGAUGGGGGGCAGCAGCAGUCUCAGCCGUGGGGGGGCGUGUGGAUGUCAGCAUUGGCCUGUGAGGGCUGGUCUUCUCGCGUCCAGCCUUGAGGUAAACACACAAACAGCCUACUGUUGGACGGCACCAGGAGGCAGAUGCCAUGGAUUCCCACUCCUCUGUUAUGUUUAAUAUGCAGCAGAAACAAAGCCUCAUUCUUCACACUUGUUCUAUGGAGCCUUCUCAUUCUGGGCCACACAGAGGUCUCUGUGUUCAAAUCCAUCUAUCUGUCCAUCCACCCACCCAUUUUUGUGCCGCCGAUCCUGGUUGGUCUUACUGAAAUUUCAAAGUUCACAUUUUUUACUUCAUUCUUACCUGUAUACUUUAAAGUCCCAAAGUGAAGCCGACGCAUUACAUAGAGAGCAGGAUAGAAACAAAAACAAAAUAAUUUGCAACAUUUACGUUUCAAAAUAUGACACAAAGAGGCUUUGAUACAUUUAUUAGCACUUUUCUGUUGAAACAAUGCAUUUAUUUGACAGUAAAGCUCAAAUAGAUGUAUUUGAAAAAUAGAGAAAAAAUACAAAAACUGUGUUUGUCUGAGACCCAUAUACAGUCACAGGAUAACCUUAAAUUUUUAAAAUAUGUUUUUCCUAAUAAAUAGCAGGUUGGGGCUUGAGGUAUUGAGCAGGGUGUCUGUUUUGUUUUGUUAGCAAAACAAAUUAAUCUAAGUUAAAAAUAGCACAAUUUACAUUCCACGAAUGCAUUCCUGAACUGAUUGCUCACUAAGUGAACUCAUUUAGCUUACAUCUAAAAUAACUAUGGGUAACCAAAUGUCCUUAGCCAAUGUCAGCAUUAGACUUUUGCAAGUCCGUUUUCGAAAAAAUUACAGGUCACUACUAGGUCAGACAUAUACAUGCCGUACUGAAUGAAAAUAUAAAGAUCAGCCGAGAGCCAAUCAUACCUUUCUGCUUAAACCUAAAGACACAUAUGUAACUGCUGUUUACUGGAAUAUACUAAUUUCUGAAUAUUAGAAUAAUAACUAAACAACACAUGAAGCAAAUUUGUGUCUGUAGGUCUUGUUUUUUUACUAUAGAAAUGUCUGGAAUAAUACUCAGUCAGCUGUGCCAGAAAUCCUGUGAGAUGUUUUCCUCUUCAGAUCAUAAGGGACAGUAUCUGACCCUGGAGGCCAUUUUUCUAUGUUAGUCUUUGGAUGGAAGAAGAACAGCAAUAGCGAAACAGUUGUUUUUUUUUCUGUGGGAAAAUCUGCAGGGCGCUGAAUAGGAGCCCCUCGGCUCUGGGACCCUUAAGGCAGGGGGCAGUGGGUGGACAGUGCAUCAGACGCAGCUGCAUAGCUUGCAGCGAGUCAAUCAAAGCCUUUUUGCUUAACCCUAAAGAAGCUUAAAUAACAAGAUCAGCUUAGGCGACGGCUAAGUAUUUUUAUAUGGUCAAAAAUUCCAAUUAAGUGGGUUUGGCUGUUUAAGAAAGUCAAAUCAGAUAAAUCCAGUAAGGUGGACUUAAAGAAAAGGUAUGUGUCCUUUUUAUGUGUGGAAUUUACCGUGACUUUUGUUUUCAUCACAGCCAGUGUUCUGUCACUAAGCUCAUUGUACAAACUAUAUGAAAGCCCCAUGGACCCCCACCUAUUCGCAGCACUAAAGAAUGCAGAACUGCAGGCUGUACAGGAAUAUGUAAAUCCAUAUUGCCAUCAUUCUCCAUUUUGCAUUUAAACAGUUUGGUUCCCUAAACUCUCUUGAACAUUUUCUUGUGGUUCUCCAGUUUCUGUAAAUAGAGUAUUAGAAAAAUUGCACAACACCUAACACCCCCCAGAAAAAACACAGAUUCCCAUUAUCGUACAAGUUACUAAAGCUGAAUAUGAUAACGGACCCCAGAACAGCCGCUGGCCUGUAGGGAGUGGGAAGGUUCACCGCCAGUACAUUAAGCAUUUUAUUAUGCACUGUAGUAUUGACAUUCCUUAAUUAGUUUAGGAAAUACCUGCAACUCACAUGCACUCGGGGGGGGACAGGGGCCAAUGAAUAUGUGAAACUGGGCAGAGGGGCGGCGAAAGUAACAUUCUGUCAGCAGGCCCAGGAUUUGUAGGUACAGCCCAGCAUGCGGCAUCAAUUACAUCAUUAGCGCAAAUGUUUUUAAAGACUUAAAUGACUGUUGUUAGCCAAUGUGUAUGACUUUUACGGCACGUUAGUCAUUUUUUGUCACUUUUAGUCACAUUUUUGUUGCAUUAAAGAAAGCACAGCUGCAGGCUGUACACAAAUAAGCCCGUCUAGAUCUAUUAGUACCCAGGGUAGAAAGAACUACGGCAGACUGCAGAGCUUUCUCUUAUAGUGCUCUGCUGUUGUGAAAUAGUCUCCCAGUGGAUGUGCAGGAUUCAGGUUCACACACUUCUUUAGUCUAGUCUAUAGGGACUCUAGUUCUAGCUCUAGCUAACUGCACACUCCCAGUUAGACCCCUAGUGUGAGGUGUAGAGCUGGGUGGGGA